rnacentral:rRNA from 1 species
UACAGAGGGUGCGAGCGUUGUUCGGAAUUAUUGGGCGUAAAGCGCGUGUAGGCGGCUUUGCAAGUCGGGUGUGGAAUCCCUCAGCUCAACUGAGGAAGUGCGCCCGAAACUGCAGAGCUUGAGUACCGGAGAGGAUGGUGGAAUUCCCCAAGUAGAGGUGAAAUUCGUAGAUAUGGGGAGGAACACCGGUGGCGAAGGCGACCAUCUGGACGGAUACUGACGCUGAGACGCGAAAGCGUGGGUAGCGAACAGG